rnacentral:rRNA from 1 species
CCUACGGGAGGCAGCAGUGGGGAAUAUUGGGCAAUGGGCGCAAGCCUGACCCAGCAACGCCGCGUGAAGGAAGAAGGCUUUCGGGUUGUAAACUUCUUUUGGCAGGGAAGAGUAGAAGACGGUACCUGACGAAUAAGCCACGGCUAACUACGUGCCAGCAGCCGCGGUAAUACGUAGGUGGCAAGCGUUGUCCGGAUUUACUGGGUGUAAAGGGCGUGUAGCCGGGUUGACAAGUCAGAUGUGAAAUCCUGCGGCUUAACCGCAGAACUGCAUUUGAAACUGUGGAUCUUGAGUACUGGAGAGGCAGAUGGAAUUCCGGGUGUAGCGGUGAAAUGCAUAGAUAUUAGGAGGAACACCAGGGGCGAAGGCGGUCUGCUGGACAGCAACUGACGGUGAGGCGCGAAAGCGUGGGGAGCAAACAGGAUUAGAUACCCGAGUAGUC